rnacentral:rRNA from 1 species
UACGGGUGGCAGCAGUCGAGAAUCAUUUCACAAUGGGGGGAAACCCUGAAUGGGUGCGACGCCGCGUGGGGGAAUGAAGGUCUUCGGAUUGUAAACCCCUGUCAUGUGGGAGCAAAUUAAAAAGAUAGUACCACAAGAGGAAGAGACGGCUAACUCUGUGCCAGCAGCCGCGGUAAUACAGAGGUCUCAAGCGUUGUUCGGAAUCACUGGGCGUAAAGCGUGCGUAGGCGGUUUCGUAAGUCGUGUGUGAAAGGCGGGGGCUCAACCCCCGGACUGCACAUGAUACUGCGAGACUAGAGUAAUGGAGGGGGAACCGGAAUUCUCGGUGUAGCAGUGAAAUGCGUAGAUAUCGAGAGGAACACUCGUGGCGAAGGCGGGUUCCUGGACAUUAACUGACGCUGAGGCACGAAGGCCAGGGGAGCGAAAGGGAUUAGAUACCCCUGUAGUCCUGGCAGUAAACGGUGCACGCUUGGUGUGCGGGGAAUCGACCCCCUGCGUGCCGGAGCUAACGCGUUAAGCGUGCCGCCUGGGGAGUACGGUCGCAAGAUUAAAACUCAAGGAAAUUGACGGGGACCCGCACAAGCGGUGGAGUAUGUGGCUUAAUUCGAUGCAACGCGAAGAACCUUACCUGGGCUUGACAUGUAAUGAACAACAUGUGAAAGCAUGCGACUCUUCGGAGGCGUUACACAGGUGCUGCAUGGCCGUCGUCAGCUCGUGUCGUGAGAUGUUUGGUUAAGUCCAGCAACGAGCGCAACCCCUGUUGCCAGUUACCAGCACGUAAAGGUGGGGACUCUGGCGAGACUGCCCAGAUCAACUGGGAGGAAGGUGGGGACGACGUCAGGUCAGUAUGGCCCUUAUGCCCAGGGCUGCACACGUACUACAAUGCCCAGUACAGAGGGGGCCGAAGCCGCGAGGCGGAGGAAAUCCUAAAAACUGGGCCCAGUUCGGACUGUAGGCUGCAACCCGCCUACACGAAGCCGGAAUCGCUAGUAAUGGCGCAUCAGCUACGGCGCCGUGAAUACGUUCCCGGGUCUUGCACUCACCGCCCGUCA